rnacentral:rRNA from 1 species
UACGAAGGGUGCAAGCGUUAAUCGGAAUUACUGGGCGUAAAGGGCGCGCAGGCGGCUGCUCAAGUCAGGCGUGAAAGGCCUGGGCUCAACCCGGGAAUUGCGCUUGAGACUGGGCUGGCUUGAGUGCGGGAGAGGAUGGUGGAAUUCCCAGUGUAGAGGUGAAAUGCGUAGAUAUCUGGAGGAACACCGGUGGCGAAGGCGGCAUCCUGGACCAAUUCUGACGCUGAGUGAGCGAAAGCCAGGGGAGCAAACGGG